rnacentral:rRNA from 1 species
AUUGAACGCUGGCGGCAUGCCUUACACAUGCAAGUCGAACGGCAGCACGGGAGCAAUCCUGGUGGCGAGUGGCGAACGGGUGAGUAAUAUAUCGGAACGUGCCCGGUCGUGGGGGAUAACGUAGCGAAAGCUACGCUAAUACCGCAUACGAUCUACGGAUGAAAGCGGGGGAUCGCAAGACCUCGCGCGAUUGGAGCGGCCGAUAUCAGAUUAGGUAGUUGGUGAGGUAAAGGCUCACCAAGCCGACGAUCUGUAGCUGGUCUGAGAGGACGACCAGCCACACUGGGACUGAGACACGGCCCAGACUCCUACGGGAGGCAGCAGUGGGGGAAUUUUUGGUACGAAAUAGGGUCGGCGAAGA